rnacentral:rRNA from 1 species
UGAGGAAUAUUGCACAAUGGGCGCAAGCCUGAUGCAGCGACGCCGCGUGUGGGAUGAAGGGGCUACGCCUCGUAAACCACUGUAGCCCGGGACGAAAAACUCCCUAGAGGCGUUAGACGGUACCGGGAAAGUAAGGGUCGGCUAACUACGUGCCAGCAGCCGCGGUAAUACGUAGGACCCAAGCGUUGUCCGGAUUUACUGGGUGUACAGGGUGCGCAGGCGGAUGGGUAAGUCAUGGGUGAAAGUCUGCAGCUUAACUGUAGAAUUGCCUUUGAUACUGCUCAUGUUGAGUGUGGGAUAGGUUGAUGGAAUUCCAGGUGUAGCAGUGAAAUGCGUAGAUAUCUGGAAGAACACCAGUGGCGAAGGCGGUCAACUGUCCCAUAACUGACGCUCAUGCACGAAAGCGUGGGGAGCAAACA